AUGUUUCACUGUUCUCUUUACUCACUCAUUAUGUUUCCUCUGUUCUCUUUACUCACUCAUUAUGUUUCCUCUGUUCUCUUUACUCACUCAUUAUGUUUCCUCUGUUCUCUUUACUCACUCAUUAUGUUUCCUCUGUUCUCUUUACUCACUCAUUAUGUUUCCUCUGUUGUCUUUACUCACUCAUUAUGUUUCCUCUGUUCUCUUUACUCACUCAUUAUGUUUCCUCUGUUCUCUUUUGUCAUGUACUGUCAUGUUGUGUCUUGUCUCUGUCCUUUCCCUUCACCCUGUCUCCCUCUGCUGGUCGUUGUUAGGUUACCUUUUCUCCCCCUCUUUCCCCCAGCUGUGCCUUGUCUCCUCCUAACCACCUCGUCACCCCUUUUCCCACCUGUUCCCUUUUUCCCUCUGAUUAGGUCCCUAUAUCUCUCUCUGUUUCUGCUCCUGUCUUUGUCGGAUUCUUGUUUGUUGUGUUUCAUGCCUGAACCAGACUGUCGUCAUGUUUGCUGUAACCCUGUCUUUGUCGGAUUCUUGUUUGUUGUGUUUCAUGCCUGAACCAGACUGUCGUCAUGUUUGCUGUAACCUUGUCUUGUCCUGUCGGAAUCUGCCGGUCCGUCUGAGCCUACCUAUGUUUGGUAAUUAAAGAAGCUCUGUUUAAGUUAAUUCGCUUUUGGGUCCUCAUUCACGCACCGUAACACUUUACUCACUCAUUAUGUUUCCUCUGUUGUCUUUACUCACUCAUUAUGUUUCCUCUGUUCUCUUUACUCACUCAUUAUGUUUCCUCUGUUCUCUUUACUCACUCAUUAUGUUUCCUCUGUUCUCUUUACUCACUCAUUAUGUUUCCACUGUUGUCUUUACUCACUCAUUAUGUUUCCUCUGUUCUCUUUACUCACUCAUUAUGUUUCACUGUCCUCUUUACUCACUCAUUAUGUUUCCUCUGUUGUCUUUACUCACUCAUUAUGUUUCCACUGUUCUCUUUACUCACUCAUUAUGUUUCACUGUCCUCUUUACUCACUCAUGUUUCACUGUCCUCUUUACUCACUCAUUAUGUUUCCUCUGUUCUCUUUACUCACUCAUUAUGUUUCCUCUGUCCUCUUUACUCACUCAUUAUGUUUCCUCUGUUCUCUUUACUCACUCAUUAUGUUUCCUCUGUUCUCUUUACUCACUCAUUAUGUUUCCUCUGUUGUCUUUACUCACUCAUUAUGUAUCCACUGUCCUCUUUACUCACUCAUUAUGUUUCCUCUG
rnacentral:lncRNA from 13 species